UGUGGGUAUUCUUCGCCUACGCAAGCGGAAAUCAUCAGCGAUCUUAAACUCUCAAUUUCUGAGUUCUCUCUGUUUGGAUCUUUAUCGAAUGUUGGCGCUAUGGUUGGAGCUAUUGCUAGUGGUCAAAUUGCAGAGUACAUUGGCCGCAAGGGGUCGCUGAUGAUUGCCGCGAUCCCUAAUAUAAUUGGAUGGUUAUGCAUAUCAUUUGCAAAAGAUUCAUCAUUUUUAUUCAUGGG
rnacentral:misc_RNA from 1 species